AUUUAUGGCCAUGCUACACUGAACAUGUCCGAAUCGGUCUAAUCUUGGAAGCUUAGCAGUGACAGGCCUGGUUAGUACUUGGAUGGGAGACCACCUAGGAAGACCAGGUGCUGUAGGUG
rnacentral:rRNA from 1 species